rnacentral:lncRNA from 1 species
GCUGCUUGAGGGUCGGUUUCAAAAUGGGUUACAAGGGAUAAUGUCAGGUGUAAGGUAGGCUGAACAAAGAAAAAAAUUGGUUUAAAGUGUGGCGUUGGGAUGGAUAAAUAAUGGUAGGAAGGGAAACUUGAUGAUCGGAGUAAUAAGAGAUGAAAAUAAAACUCGCAAGACUUUUCACUUCUUUUUUUUACUCUUUUUUUUUUGCUCACUUCUUUUUUUCUUUUUUUUUCGAUUUUUUUUUUAAUUUUGAUUUUUUUUUGUGAUACUCCAAUACAAUAGUAAGGUAAAUAUAAGGAAGGAAAAAAAAUUAAAU